rnacentral:misc_RNA from 1 species
GCACCAUCUCUAUCAUCAGCCAAAAGCUUCAACUCAUCAGCAACCGCAACAUGAAACAACUCUCUCUGAUUCUGAAACACACUAGACAAAAACUUCCCAGCAGCCGUGCGCGGCUCAAGAGGCGUGUUUAAGCUACUGCUGCUGGGCUCGCAGUGGCUAGACCCUGCUUUGGCAACCACGACCAGCGGCGGUCGUACUUCCCGGCGAAGGGAAGUAC